GUCUUCGUGGCGCAAUUGGCUAGCGCGUCUGACUGUUAUACCACAUCCGUGGAUGGCAAGUCAUCAGGAGGUUCCUGGUUCGAGCCCAGGCGAGGACG
rfam:Magnaporthe poae ATCC 64411 unplaced genomic scaffold supercont1.14, whole genome shotgun sequence.